UAGAAUUUUCUCCUAAAUUACAAAUUCCCUAAAUUAAAGGAUUUUCUUUUAAUUAACAUUUUACUGGAUAUAUGACCAGAAAUAUUUUUUGUUUCUAGGUAAUGGAUGUUUUCAGAAAAGUUCAUGAAGAACUUGAAAAAACUAUAGAAGACUGUGAAAAUGCCAAAUUGCAGUUUCAAGAAAAUGAAGAAGAAAUGGAGGAAGAUAUUCGUAAUGAUGAAAGAAACUUAGAGACCCACAGGAAAGAAUUUUUCACAAAUGGAAAGAAGUAGCCAAACUAAACAAUCUGCAUACUCACUACUGUUCAGAAAUAGAUGAUGUUAAAGUGAAUAUUGAGGAGAGUGAAGAGGCAGCGAUGGUAGUACUGAAGGAAACAAAAUCAACAACAGAUGAAGUAUCUACUUUAUCGAGAACAGUGAGUUUUUCAUAUUUAAAAAUAAAAAGUAGUGAUUUUAGUUUUGAACUUGAAUAAUAAAUUUUCUUUGC
rnacentral:lncRNA from 1 species